ensembl:lncRNA
UGGUAAUGCCUCUGUUAGACUGUGGAUAAAAAUGAACACGUGUUCCAAGGCCUUGAUGAGCUAAACCAGUUAUGCAAAGUGAAACUCUUUGCAUAGUCUUUUGUUCCAUUCCUAAUCUCUAGUUGACUGUACAGUGGGAAAUCAACCUCCGGGGGUUCCAGGAGGGCCUGAAGCAACCUCCACCAGGCCUUAGCCACACAGAAGUAGAUUUUGUUCUCUAGCAAGCUCCAGGAGUUGACAAUGGACAGGGAAGCCUGGCGUACUGCAGCGCAUGGGGUCACAAAGAGUCGGACAAGACUGAGAGAUGGAACUGAACUGAAGGCAACUGUGCUCCGGUGGAGGCUGGAGGACCACAGUUCAAGGAUGUGAAAGGUGGGAUACCCAAAGAAGCUCCAAAUACCACCUGCCGGUCUGGAGGGGAAGUCAAGAUUGUGCAUUUCUAACAAGUUCCCAAGUGAUCUGAUGCUGAGACCAUACUUUGAGAACAACUUCCCCAGAAAAAUUCUUGCAUGUGUGCAACAGAAAACAUGAACAAGAAAUUCCAUUGCACCUAAGAUUUAAUAACAACAACAACAAAAAAUGGAAAUAACCCAAAUGCCCAUCAACUGUGCAUGCUAAGUCACUUCAGUUGUGUCCAACUUUUUGCAACCCUGUGAACUGUAGCCCACCAGGCUCCUUUGUCCAUGGGACGCUCCUCUGUCCAUGGAAUUCUCCAAGCAAGAAUACUGGAAUGGGUUGCCACGCCCUACUCCAGGGGAUCUUCCCGACCCAGGGAUCAAAUCGGAGUCUGUUAUGUCUCCUGCAUUGGCACGCGGGUUCUUUACCAUUAGCACCACCUGGGAAGCCCCUCCCUUCAACUGUAAAUUGGACAAAUAAACUGUGGUAUUGUCAUCAGCAAAGCCCGUUAGCAAUUCCUG